rnacentral:rRNA from 1 species
AGAGUGAACGCUGGCGGUAGGCCUAACACAUGCAAGUCGAACGGCAGCACAGUAGGAGCUUGCUCUUACGGGUGGCGAGUGGCGGACGGGUGAGGAAUACAUCGGAAUCUACCUUUUGGUGGGGGAUAACGUAGGGAAACUUACGCUAAUACCGCAUACGCCCUUCGGGGGAAAGCCGGGGACCAGCAAUGGCCUGGUGCUGAUAGAUGAGCCGAUGUCGGAUUAGCUAGUUGGUGAGGUAAUGGCUCACCGAAGGCGACGAUCCGUAGCUGGUCUGAGAGGAUGAUCAGCCACACUGGAACUGAGACACGGUCCAGACCUCCGUACGGGAGCAGCAGG